UCGGGGGGGGGGGGCUAUACAUGCAAGUCGAACGCUUUGUGGUUCAACUGAUUUGAAGAGCUUGCUCAGAUAUGACGAUGGACAUUGCAAAGAGUGGCGAACGGGUGAGUAACACGUGGGAAACCUACCUCUUAGCAGGGGAUAACAUUUGGAAACAGAUGCUAAUACCGUAUAACAAUGACAACCGCAUGGUUGUUAUUUAAAAGAUGGUUCUGCUAUCACUAAGAGAUGGUCCCGCGGUGCAUUAGCUAGUUGGUAAGGUAAUGGCUUACCAAGGCGAUGAUGCAUAGCCGAGUUGAGAGACUGAUCGGCCACAAUGGGACUGAGACACGGCCCAUACUCCUACGGGAGGCAGCAGUAGGGAAUCUUCCACAAUGGGCGAAAGCCUGAUGGAGCAACGCCGCGUGUGUGAUGAAGGGUUUCGGCUCGUAAAACACUGUUGUAAGAGAAGAAUGACAUUGAGAGUAACUGUUCAAUGUGUGACGGUAUCUUACCAGAAAGGAACGGCUAAAUACGUGCCAGCAGCCGCGGUAAUACGUAUGUUCCAAGCGUUAUCCGGAUUUAUUGGGCGUAAAGCGAGCGCAGACGGUUAUUUAAGUCUGAAGUGAAAGCCCUCAGCUCAACUGAGGAAUUGCUUUGGAAACUGGAUGACUUGAGUGCAGUAGAGGAAAGUGGAACUCCAUGUGUAGCGGUGAAAUGCGUAGAUAUAUGGAAGAACACCAGUGGCGAAGGCGGCUUUCUGGACUGUAACUGACGUUGAGGCUCGAAAGUGUGGGUAGCAAACAGGAUUAGAUACCCUGGUAGUCCACACCGUAAACGAUGAGUGCUAGGUGUUUGAGGGUUUCCGCCCUUAAGUGCCGCAGCUAACGCAUUAAGCACUCCGCCUGGGGAGUACGACCGCAAGGUUGAAACUCAAAGGAAUUGACGGGGACCCGCACAAGCGGUGGAGCAUGUGGUUUAAUUCGAAGCAACGCGAAGAACCUUACCAGGUCUUGACAUCCCUUGACAACUCCAGAGAUGGAGCGUUCCCUUCGGGGACAAGGUGACAGGUGGUGCAUGGUUGUCGUCAGCUCGUGUCGUGAGAUGUUGGGUUAAGUCCCGCAACGAGCGCAACCCUUAUUACUAGUUGCCAGCAUUCAGUUGGGCACUCUAGUGAGACUGCCGGUGACAAACCGGAGGAAGGUGGGGAUGACGUCAAAUCAUCAUGCCCCUUAUGACCUGGGCUACACACGUGCUACAAUGGCGUAUACAACGAGUUGCCAACCCGCGAGGGUGAGCUAAUCUCUUAAAGUACGUCUCAGUUCGGAUUGUAGGCUGCAACUCGCCUACAUGAAGUCGGAAUCGCUAGUAAUCGCGGAUCAGCACGCCGCGGUGAAUACGUUCCCGGGUCUUGUACACACCGCCCGUCACACCAUGAGAGUUUGUAACACCCAAAGCCGGUGGGGUAACCUUCGGGAGCCAGCCGUCUAAGGGGGACCCAAA
rnacentral:rRNA from 1 species